rnacentral:rRNA from 1 species
UAGAGUUUGAUCCUGGCUCAGAUUGAACGCUGGCGGCAGGCCUAACACAUGCAAGUCGAGCGGAAACGAUGGUAGCUUGCUACCAGGCGUCGAGCGGCGGACGGGUGAGUAACGCGUGAGAAUCUGCCCAUUUGUGGGGGAUAACUCGGGGAAACUCGAGCUAAUACCGCAUAAUCCCUACGGGGGAAAGCAGGGGACCUUCGGGCCUUGUGCAGAUGGAUGAGCUCGCGUCGGAUUAGCUUGUUGGUGAGGUAAAGGCUCACCAAGGCGACGAUCCGUAGCUGGUCUGAGAGGAUGAUCAGCCACACCGGGACUGAGACACGGCCCGGACUCCUACGGGAGGCAGCAGUGGGGAAUCUUGGACAAUGGGGGCAACCCUGAUCCAGCCAUGCCGCGUGUGUGAAGAAGGCCUUCGGGUUGUAAAGCACUUUCAGUAGGGAGGAAGGCUUACCGCUAAUAACGGUGAGUACUGACGU